GACGAACGCUGGCGGCGUGCUUAACACAUGCAAGUCGAACGGUGAAGCGCCUUCCCUUUUGGUGGGUGUGGAUGAGUGGCGAACGGGUGAGUAACACGUGAGUAACCUGCCCCCUUCUUCUGGAUAACCGCAUGAAAGUGUGGCUAAUACGGGAUAUUCUGGGUCUGUCGCAUGAUGGGUCUGGGAAAGAUAUUGUUUCGGUGGGGGAUGGGCUCGCGGCCUAUCAGCUUGUUGGGGGGGUGAUGGCCUACCAAGGCGGUGCCGGGUAGCCGGCCUGGGAGGGUGGACGGUCACACUGGGACUGAGACACGGCCCAGACUCCUACGGGAGGCAGCAGUGGGGAAUAUUGCACAAUGGGCGCAAGCCUGAUGCAGCGACGCCGCGUGAGGGAUGGAGGCCUUCGGGUUGUGAACCUCUUUCGCCAGUGAAGCAGGCCUGCCUCGUUUGUGGGUGGGUUGACGGUAGCUGGAUAAGAAGCGCCGGCUAACUACGUG
rnacentral:rRNA from 1 species